rnacentral:rRNA from 1 species
CACGUAGGGGGCGAGCGUUGUCCGGAUUUAUUGGGCGUAAAGAGCUCGUAGGCGGUUCGUCGCGUCGGCUGUGAAAACCCGGAGCUCAACUCCGGGCCUGCAGUCGAUACGGGCGGACUUGAGUGUUGCAGGGGAGACUGGAAUUCCUGGUGUAGCGGUGAAAUGCGCAGAUAUCAGGAGGAACACCGGUGGCGAAGGCGCACAUCUGGCCCGAUACUGACGCUGAAGCGCGAAAGCUAGGGGAGCAAACGGG